GAUGAACGCUGGCGGCGUGCCUAAUACAUGCAAGUCGAGCGAACAGACGAGAAGCUUGCUUCUCUGAUGUUAGCGGCGGACGGGUGAGUAACACGUGGAUAACCUACCUAUAAGACUGGGAUAACUUCGGAAAACCGGAGCUAAUACCGGAUAAUAUUUUGAACCGCAUGGUUCAAAAGUGAAAGACGGUCUUGCUGUCACUUAUAGAUGGAUCCGCGCUGCAUUAGCUAGUUGGUAAGGUAACGGCUUACCAAGGCAACGAUGCAUAGCCGACCUGAGAGGGUGAUCGGCCACACUGGAACUGAGACACGGUCCAGACUCCUACGGGAGGCAGCAGUAGGGAAUCUUGCGCAAUAGGCGAGAGCCUGACGGAGCAACGUCGCGUGAGUGCUGAAGGUCUUCGGAUCCUAAAACUCUGUUAUUAGGGAAGAACAUAUGUGUAAGUAACUGUGCACAUCUUGACGGUACCUACUCAGAAAGCAACGGCUAACUACGUG
rnacentral:rRNA from 1 species